UACGGUCGCAAGAUUAAAACUCAAAGGAAUUGACGGGGACCCGCACAAGCGGUGGAUGAUGUGGAUUAAUUCGAUGCAACGCGAAAAACCUUACCUACCCUUGACAUGGCAGGAAUCCCUGAGAGAUUGGGGAGUGCUCGAAAGAGAACCUGCACACAGGUGCUGCAUGGCUGUCGUCAGCUCGUGUCGUGAGAUGUUGGGUUAAGUCCCGCAACGAGCGCAACCCUUGUCAUUAGUUGCUACGAAAGGGCACUC
rnacentral:rRNA from 1 species